GCUCCUUUAGCUCAAUUGGUAGAGCAACGGACUCUUAAUCCGUAGGUUCUGGGUCCGAGUCCCAGAGGGAGCA
rnacentral:tRNA from 1 species